rnacentral:lncRNA from 1 species
UUUCGUACCUAUAUAUACACAAAUCUAAUGCAUAUACAUGAACAUAUCAAGAAGAAACAGACAAUUAUUCUACUCUAUUUUUGCAGCUGAAGUAGAAAAAUAAUGGUUAGAUUGGGAAAAAAAAUUUCGAUAUUCCCUGUUAGGGAGCCGUUAUUUCCUAAAUUUAACAUCAAGGGUAAUACAGUCGUUAUAGUCGGAAUAGGCGAUAUCGUAGUGAAAAGGUUUGCCUUGUUAUCACAGGCACCAUUUUUCUAGCCGUUGCCAUACCUAAUUUAAUUCUAUUUGUCGGUAUGUUGUUUAAUUAGUUCGUUUUGUAGCGUCUUUUGUUCUUAGCUUGUAGGAUUGGAAGGAAUUCUUUUACGUAUGAUUUAUGUAAAGAUCGAUUCAUUAAUUUAUUUAUUUAGCACUUCAGUUUAAUUUACAGUAAAUGUUUAUCAAAUUUUCAAUGUCUUGAUUAUCAAAGGGUGUAUCUCGCGCUUGAAAUCUUUUAUUCUUGUUACAAAGUUUUAUGUAGGAAUUUGAAAUCUCAAUUUCUUAAGAUAUUGAAGGGUUUCGCCCUGAGGCGAAGCCAUGAUUUUAACUUUAUAGGUUUAAUUUUUGAACAAUAAUUUCUUGCGCUAAUAACUUGACCGAACUCGUGCUCUGAAUUCUAGCUCUACCACUGAUUUCAUCAAGCGGUGGAAGGAUAUAAUGGAGGGGUAGGGGAUUAUUC